GGCGCCUGGGGCGGCAGCGCGCCGGUGGGCUCCGGCCCUGCCGGCUCCUGCGGCACGGCGCCGGCCGGCUGCUCCGGACGGCCCGGUGCCA
rnacentral:tRNA from 1 species